ACACUAGCGACCCAAUCUGGCCCUACUCUUCUGCCGUAAUUCCCGUCUUCCAGACCUUCCUAUCUAGGUUCAUGUCCUCGGUGAGCUGUAACUGUUCCAUGUCCCGCCUAAUCACCUCACCCCAGUACUUCUUCGGCCUACCCCUACCCCGCGUAAAACCAUCCAACGCUAGCCUCUCACACCUACGGAUCGGGGCAUCCAUGCCCCUCCUCUUCACGUGUCCGAACCAUCUCAAUCGUGCUUCCCGCAUCUUACACUCCACUGAAGUCACACCAACCUUCUCCCGGAUAGUCUCAUUCCGAACUCUAUCCCCUCGAGUCAGUCCACACAUCCAGCGCAACAUCCGCAUUUCUGCCACCUUCAUUUUUUGGAUGUGGGAGUUCUU
rnacentral:lncRNA from 1 species